rnacentral:rRNA from 1 species
UACGGAGGGUGCAAGCGUUAAUCGGAAUUACUGGGCGUAAAGCGCGCGUAGGCGGUAUUGUAAGUGGGAUGUGAAAGCCCCGGGCUCAACCUGGGAACUGCAUUCCAAACUGCAAAACUAGAGUAUGGUAGAGGAUAGUGGAAUUUCAGGUGUAGCGGUGAAAUGCGUAGAGAUCUGAAGGAACACCAGUGGCGAAGGCG